rnacentral:rRNA from 1 species
ACCAGAGGGAUAGCCCAGAGAAAUUUGGAUUAAUACCUCAUAGCAUUGCAUGAUGGCAUCAUCGAGCAAUUAAAGUCACAACGGUAAAANGAUGAGCAUGCGUCCCAUUAGCUAGUUGGUAAGGUAACGGCUUACCAAGGCUACGAUGGGUAGGGGUCCUGAGAGGGAGAUCCCCCACACCUGGUACUGAGACACGGACCAGACUCCUACGGGAGGCAGCAGUGAGGAAUAUUGGACAAUGGGCGCAAGCCUGAUCCAGCCAUGCCGCGUGCAGGAUGACGGUCCUAUGGAUUGUAAACUGCUUUUGUACGAGAAGAAACACUCCUAUGUAUAGGAGCUUGACGGUAUCGUAAGAAUAAGGAUCGGCUAACUCCGUGCCAGCAGCCGCGGUAAUACGGAGGAUCCAAGCGUUAUCCGGAAUCAUUGGGUUUAAAGGGUCCGUAGGCGGUUUAAUAAGUCAGUGGUGAAAGCCCAUCGCUCAACGGUGGAACGGCCAUUGAUACUGUUAAACUUGAAUUAUUAGGAAGUAACUAGAAUAUGUAGUGUAGCGGUGAAAUGCUUAGAGAUUACAUGGAAUACCAAUUGCGAAGGCAGGUUACUACUAAUGGAUUGACGCUGAUGGACGAAAGCGUGGGUAGCGAACAGGAUUAGAUACCCUGGUAGUCCACGCCGUAAACGAUGGAUACUAGCUGUUGGGAGCAAUCUCAGUGGCUAAGCGAAAGUGAUAAGUAUC